UGUCCGUGGAGCUGGGUGUGUA
rnacentral:misc_RNA from 1 species